rnacentral:rRNA from 1 species
AAAUCGUACCCCAAACCGACACAGGUGGUCAGGUAGAGAAUACCAAGGCGCUUGAGAGAACUCGGGUGAAGGAACUAGGCAAAAUGGUGCCGUAACUUCGGGAGAAGGCACGCUGACACGUAGGUGAAGUGAUUUACUCAUGGAGCUGAAGUCAGUCGAAGAUACCAGCUGGCUGCAACUGUUUAUUAAAAACACAGCACUGUGCAAACACGAAAGUGGACGUAUACGGUGUGACGCCUGCCCGGUGCCGGAAGGUUAAUUGAUGGGGUCAGCGCAAGCGAAGCUCCUGAUCGAAGCCCCGGUAAACGGCGGCCGUAACUAUAACGGUCCUAAGGUAGCGAAAUUCCUUGUCGGGUAAGUUCCGACCUGCACGAAUGGCGUAAUGAUGGCCAGGCUGUCUCCACCCGAGACUCAGUGAAAUUGAACUCGCUGUGAAGAUGCAGUGUACCCGCGGCAAGACGGAAAGACCCCGUGAACCUUUACUAUAGCUUGACACUGAACAUUGAGCCUUGAUGUGUAGGAUAGGUGGGAGGCUUUGAAGUGUGGACGCCAGUCUGCAUGGAGCCGACCUUGAAAUACCACCCUUUAAUGUUUGAUGUUCUAACGUGGACCCGUAAUCCGGGUUGCGGACAGUGUCUGGUGGGUAGUUUGACUGGGGCGGUCUCCUCCUAAAGAGUAACGGAGGAGCACGAAGGUUGGCUAAUCCUGGUCGGACAUCAGGAGGUUAGUGCAAUGGCAUAAGCCAGCUUGACUGCGAGCGUGACGGCGCGAGCAGGUGCGAAAGCAGGUCAUAGUGAUCCGGUGGUUCUGAAUGGAAGGGCCAUCGCUCAACGGAUAAAAGGUACUCCGGGGAUAACAGGCUGAUACCGCCCAAGAGUUCAUAUCGACGGCGGUGUUUGGCACCUCGAUGUCGGCUCAUCACAUCCUGGGGCUGAAGUAGGUCCCAAGGGUAUGGCUGUUCGCCAUUUAAAGUGGUACGCGAGCUGGGUUUAGAACGUCGUGAGACAGUUCGGUCCCUAUCUGCCGUGGGCGCUGGAGAACUGAGGGGGGCUGCUCCUAGUACGAGAGGACCGGAGUGGACGCAUCACUGGUGUUCGGGUUGUCAUGCCAAUGGCACUGCCCGGUAGCUAAAUGCGGAAGAGAUAAGUGCUGAAAGCAUCUAAGCACGAAACUUGCCCCGAGAUGAGUUCUCCCUGAGACUUAGAGUCUCCUGAAGGAACGUUGAAGACGACGACGUUGAUAGGCCGGGUGUGUAAGCGCAGCGAUGCGUUGAGCUAACCGGUACUAAUGAACCGUGAGGCUUA